AUACUUAUCUGGCAGAGAAGAUUCCGUUAUCAAGAAGGCGGACCUUCCAGGAUGAGGCCCUUCCAUUGCACUACAGUUGGGUUGACCCCUGCGAAUAUCCCCAAUGUGGAUAUCUCGGGCGUAUUAUUUUUGAUAACCAUUAAUUCAUUAAACA
rnacentral:snRNA from 1 species